CCCUUAGAUGUUCUGGGCCGCACGCGUGCUACACUGAGUGGAUCAGCGGGUCAGGUUGCGCGAAAGUGUUUCCUAAUCUUGAAAUCCGCUCGUGAUGGGGAUUGACGGUUGCAAUUUUCCGUCAUGAACGAGGAAUACCUUGUAAGCGCGGGUCAUCAUCCCGCGCUGAAUACGUCCCUGCCCUUUGUACACACCGCCCGUCGCUCCUACCGAUUGAGUGGUCCGGUGAGGCUUUGGGAUCUGAGCGGAAAGAGCGUUUCGCUGUUUCUGCCCGGAAAGCUCAGUCGAACCUUAUCAUUUAGAGGAAGGAGAAGUCGUAACA
rnacentral:rRNA from 1 species